rnacentral:sRNA from 9 species
GUUUGCACUUGUCGGGGAAGGGUGAGAACCUUCGAUUAAGGUUCGACUCGAGCGAAAGCGAGAGAACGUUGCCAACGGCAACGGCCCGUAGGGUGAGGAGUGAAGCGACGAAUAAUCCUUCCCCCACCACCA